rnacentral:lncRNA from 1 species
AAAAAUGGAGUCAGUGGAGUUGAACGGGGAAGAAGCAUCCUAAGAUGAAAUGGUAUCUUGCUGAUCUGGAUCUCACCAAUCAAACUAGACUGGCUGAGCAGUGAGUUCCAGGAAUUUACCUGAUAGGUAUUAUAAUUUCUUGUAUAUUUGCUCGGGUUUAGGAAAUCAUAUUCAGGUCGUCUUGGCUGGAACAGAAGCACUCUAUUAACCCAUCAUUCCCUUUUCCCUUCAUAUCAUCAUCCCUUCAUUUUCUCAUCUUUUCAAACACUUCAUACCUUCAUUUCCCUUCACCUCAUCCCUUCAUCUCUUCGUCUCUUUGUCUCCUUAUAACUUCAUUCUCAUCUUAUCAUCAAAUUAUUUCUGGAUUAUUAUUCUGAUGGAAAAUUUAAAAUGUUUGCAACUAUUUUUUUGAUGGGAAGAAUAUAGAAAUAUUUCUUUAGAAAAUAUGUGGAAUUCUGUGACUUUUCAGUCAUAGCGCUGUGUGAGUUAUGAGAAUGGAGGCUUACCUGACCUCAGUCUUGGCUGCAUCAAGAUGGAUCUGGAGGAGUAAGAAAGGUUAAAAGCGUUUACAGGCCAAACCAUGAUGGACACAGAUAUAGUGCUGCAUUUCACACUGAAGACACAAUCACACCCUCAUUUCCAAAAUAUUUUUCUUGCAUUUUUCAUGCUCAAGCUCUCCCUCUGCGUAUGCUACUCCUGGAUUUAGUUCCUGUCUUUUAAAUAGAGUAUCACUCCUAUUUCUUAUUUUUUUUUCUUUUCUCUCUCUCUCUCUCUCUCUCUCUCUCUCUCUCUCUCUCUCUUUUUAAAGACAGGGUUUCCCUGUGUAGUCCUGGCUGUCCUGGAAUUCAUUCUGUAGACCAGGCUGGCCUCAAACUCAGAAAUCUGCCUGCCUCUGCAUCCCAAGUGCUGGGAUUAAAGGCAUGUGCCACCUCUGCCUGGCUCUAUUUCUCAUUUCUAGGUUCCUACUUCCCUCUGCUUGCCUCACUUCCUGAUAUCCUGGAGGGUAUUAUUCUAUUUACUUUUCUGUCAGGUAAACAUAAGCCUUCCAGCAUUAGCAUUCUUUGUCUUUGAAAAGACAAAGACUGAAGUCAUUGUCACCCUUUCACCAUUUAGGGAGAAAGAGAGAUCAUUUUACCCACAAAGCAUCUCUGUGUAUAAAACAAUUCUCAGGGAUAGGGAAUAUGUAUAUCCUGAAAAUUAAUUUCAAGUUUCUGCAAAGCUAUUGAGGAAGCUGUAAAGUUUAUACAAUGGAAUACAACUGGCUUAAUUCAAUGGGCUAAUUUUGGAGAAAAAUCUGGGAACACAUGAACAUAAUAACAGUUAUUCAAAAGAUGUUAAAUGAAAGCCACCAACAUAUCCCAUUUUCCUCCAUGAUAGUUUUCCAAAAGGAAUAUAGAUGGUUUCCAAAUCAAGUUAUUGCUAACCACAAAUAGUAGGUGACCACAAGUGUAAUGUCAUAGAAUUUGCUAAGAGGAAGAAAUGAUAUUGAAAUCUAGGCCACAAGAAAGCUUUCUACAUGCCAAAUAAUUUUCCACACUAGAUACAUCAAAAGGGCAACUAUUUGACAUUUUAGCACUUUCAG